rnacentral:lncRNA from 1 species
UUUUAAACAUAAUUCACUAGGUGUCAAAGCAUGGAAGAAAAAUGUAAAGAGUUUUUUAAAUAAGUGGAACCAAAAAACCUAAGAUUCCUUUAUAUAACUACUUUAAGUCUGUGGAUAAUGUGCAUGCAAAAAAUUCACGUUUUGACUGUACUUAUGAAAGUCUUUGUUCGAUCCCUUCAAGAGUUUUAGGAUUUAUUAUUCAUUAUUUGUGGCGUAUUUCCAAAAUCUGGAGUUAAGGAAAGAACACCCUAAAGGCAAUAUCAUUACAGUUGCUUUUUGUACACAACCAAAGUUUUGACAUUUAUGCAAACAACAGGAUUAAGCAAACAUAAAUUUCAGAUCUCCUCAAUACUGGCUUUCCCCCAUCUCUGAUGAAUAAAUGAAACACAUUGUACAAAUAUCAUAUUCACACAAUAGAAUCUAUUUAUCUACAAAUCUCUCUCUCUCUCUCUCACACACACACACACAUACACACACGCACACACGUGCAUACACACACACACACACACCACUGUCUGCCUGAAGAGAAAUCAGAGACCCCGUGCCCUCAGACAGGCACAGACACAAAUGAUUAUUCUCACUUGACAGACCAACUGUACUGCUCUUUCCUUGUAUUUCACUCCAGCCCCAGAGGGCUGGAUCAGGAAAGAGACACUUGAUAGCUGCUGUUUCCAUGGUUGAAAUAUUUGUGAAGUUAACGCAUAAUCUGAAAGCAGAAGCUAAUAAAUUAUAGGGUGCUAAUUGGAGCUGGAGAGGAGCUGUCAAUCAUGUUAUCCUAAACACAGAGAGACCCUCAUAACCUAAAAAGGCAAGACAGCCUUCAGGAGGAGCGCCCAGUUGUCUCCAGCCUUGACCUCCACCCCAGUGGAAACACCACGUCCAGGCAGGGUAGCCAGUAAAAUAUUUGACUGAAAAGUUAAUUUUUAAAGAACACAGUUGUUUAGAGAAAUGUAGAGUAAAUUUACUGGAAUAAUUAAUAUUUUGGUAAAAAUAUUACCCUUUACUUGGAAUUUUUUACUUUAAAACACAUUUAACUCAAUUAGAGAAAAAUCUAAAGUUCUCUUCAACUUGGUGUCUUGUCUGCGUCAGAUUACAGUGUUUCCAUGAGUUUAUCAAUGUACUCCUAUUAAAUGCCUCUAAAAUGGAAAUAAGACCUCCAAAUUUCCUUUGUUUUAUGAAAUUCAUUUCUUUCACCAGCAGCAGCAUAUUUUUUAUUCCAUUGUUCAGUUCUUAGAAUCUCCUGGUAAGUUCUAGUUCUACUUAUCUCCCAGAGUUUCAAAAUCACUAACUCAAACUGUCCUUCUCUGUCAUCAUUACGUCCAUUUCCUAUCAAAACUGCAUACGUUAAUAAAUAUAUAAUUAUAAUUCUAUAUAAGAAAUUUAGAUUAAAGGCAGAUCAAACUUUGGAAAACAAAACUAAAGACUUAAAAGUUCUUUGAUUCUUAGUAUUUGCAUGACUCUAGCCAUCUAGUUACCAAUUAGAAAUUUUCACCAACAUUUAUUUAAGGAGUACACACUUUAGUCUGUAUAUGUAUUUAAAACUAGUAAAAUACUUUAUGUACCUUAUGAUUUGAAAUCUUCUUUAGAAUACUUCAAAUAAAAAUGGUUUUCACUCAAGAAAAGCAAAGCAAAUAUCUUAAAAUUCUAAACACAUAAUUGCUUAAAAUAUCAUUUUCAAUUGAUGAGAAUGUCAGAGCUUAUUUCUUUUCCUGCAAAUUCUCAUUACUACAGCCUUGCCCUUACUUUUGGCAGCUGCAUUAUCUUCCCUGUGCCUGUAAUGGUAUUAGGAAGAAAUGGGAUGGAAAACAAAACAAAAAAUUAAUUUUCAUUAUUGCUGUUUAUUUUUACUAGGUACAAUCCUAUUUCUUUUUUCUUUUUUAGUGCAUUUUCCCUAAUGUGUAAUCCACCUCAGAAAGCAAUGGGAUACUUUUCCCUGUAAUAUCAUAUUACUUUUUUUCAUUGUACCUGCUUUUUUAUGGAAUUUCUUGAUAUCUAUGGAAGCACUGCCCUUGCUUUGUGGAGUGUGAAGUUCUGGGUUACCUCAGGCAGUUUCUCCUCCACACUCAGAAACUGACAGAGGACAUUGACAGACAGAUUCAGUAAGAAACAUAAAGGACAGAGCUUAUGAUAUUUGUUCUUCCUUGUUCAAAGGCUUCUUCUAAAAACACAUUCUUUGCUUGUACUUUUUGAAAGGAGUAAGAUAAGAGCCUAGGGAGGUGUCAGGCUCUUAUCCCAAGGGAAAACCAUGGUGCAGUUGUAUUUAACGGAGGUUGGUGAGAAGGAAGAUUUUCCUCACACUUUUAUACUUAAUAGUUUCAAACUAUCUAGCUAAUAAAUUUUUAAAAUAGUAAUACAGGCAUUAUUGUCUUGCAAUGAAGUUUGGAACAUUUGGUUAUUUGAUGUUUAAGAACUGAAAAUUUGAAAAAUCUGCCAUUGAGAUACUACCAUCUCCCUUUCUUGUUUGAGAUAUAAAAUUAUUGAAACUAAAAAAGAAAACUAAACACUGCCUCACCACCACAAAAUGUACCAGGCUGAAGGUUAAUAUAGGUUUUGGGUCUGAGGAGAAUGAGUUAAAAAGUACAGGUACCAUUGAACCUCCUCGUGUCACAGAACAGCAAGGACAAGACAUUAACUGUUAAAACAGAACAAAAUUAUACCACUUAGUAAUGUAUAUCUUUCUGGGAGUUCCCAUAGUGGCUCAGGUUAAGGAACCCGACUAGUAUCUAUGAGGAUGUGGGUUUGAUUCCUGGCCUUGCUGAGUAGGUUAAGGAUCCAGCGUUGCCGUGAGCUGUGGUGUAGGUCGCAGAGGCAGCUCAGAUCUUGAGUUGCUGUGGCUGUGGUGUAGGUUCACAGCUUAGUUCCAAUUUGACUCCUAGCCUGGGAACCUCCAGUGGCCGCUGGUGCUGCCCUAAAAAGACAAAAGACAAAAAAAAAGUGUAUAUCUUUCAGAUUAUAAAGGCUUCUGACUGCAUUUUUUACUGCCAUUUUAGAGUGCAUAUUUAAUUUUUGUCACUUCCUUUCUUGGAGUAAUAUCUAAUUUGAACUCAGUUAUACACGCUUUACUCUCCUUUUUACUAUAAAGAGAAGAGUUCUAAAAGGGGCUUUAUAGAAAAUGCUUUGCGUGUUGUCUGCUCAUUUCCUGAUCUAGUUCUCAUGCUUUCUUGUCCUCUGUGUCCAUAUGGAUGCUCAGAAUGAAGGUCACAGCAUCUUGUCACAGUUCUCAGGCAGACAUCAGGCUCACCAUCAGACAAUUUUGUUCAAGGGUACAUAAUCUAGAAAUUACCAGAGAACUCAACACAUUCUAGUUGACUGCUCUAUUCUUCAAAAUCUCACCUAAGUUCUGCCUCUUCCACAGAGCUUUGUCUCCACACUGUCACAGCAAGGGCUUCACUCGUAUUGGAACUCUUAACACCUAAUGUCUAUGCCAUUCUUUUGGCAUUUAUUAGUUAACAUCUCGUGACACAAGUUCAGGAUUUAAAAGGUUGCAGUAAGCCUAGAGAUCAUCCCAUUCCUCUUGACUUACAACAUUCUUUAUUCUUUUAAUUAGAUAUUAAGUACAUUGAGCAUGUCCUGCUAACUAUUGUGGGAAAAACACAAAUUACUACAUUAAAACUUUAUUAUGUGAAAACCAAUUUUAAAAUAUAGGUCGAUCUGAGGUUUAAUGUAUAUGUUUU